rnacentral:rRNA from 1 species
UACGGAGGGGGGCUAGCGUUGUUCGGAAUACUGGGCGUAAAGCGCACGCAGGCGGUCUUUUAAGUUUGACGUGAAAGCUCCCGGCUUAACUGGGAGAGGUCGUUGAAUACUGGAAGACUUGAGGCAAUGAGAGGGGUGUAGAAUUCCCGGUGUAGUGGUGGAAUGCGUAGAUAUCGGGGGGGAAUACCAGUGGCGAAAGCGGCACCCUAGCGUUAGCCUGACGCUCAUGUGCGAAAGCGUGGGGAGCGAACGGG